rnacentral:rRNA from 1 species
UACGUAUGGUGCAAGCGUUGUUCGGAAUCAUUGGGCGUAAAGGGUAUGUAGGCGGAUAUAUAAGUCAGUUGUGAGAAUAGUGGGCUUAACCCAUAUAGAGCAAAUGAUACUGUGUAUCUAGAGUUUGGAAGAGGCAAGCGGAAUUCCUGGUGUAGCGGUGAAAUGCGUAGAUAUCAGGAGGAACACCGGUGGCGAAAGCGGCUUGCUAGUCUAAAACUGACGCUGAGAUACGAAAGUGUGGGGAGCAAACGGG